AGCGAACGCUGGCGGCAGGCCUAACACAUGCAAGUCGAACGGACCCUUCGGGGUUAGUGGCGGACGGGUGAGUAACACGUGGGAACGUGCCUUUAGGUUCGGAAUAGCUCCUGGAAACGGGUGGUAAUGCCGAAUGUGCCCUUCGGGGGAAAGAUUUAUCGCCUUUAGAGCAGCCCGCGUCUGAUUAGCUAGUUGGUGAGGUAAUGGCUCACCAAGGCGACGAUCAGUAGCUGGUCUGAGAGGAUGACCAGCCACAUUGGGACUGAGACCCGGCCCAAACUCCUACGGGAGGCAGCAGUGGGGAAUCUUGCGCAAUGGGCGAAAGCCUGACGCAGCCAUGCCGCGUGAAUGAUGAAGGUCUUAGGAUUGUAAAAUUCUUUCACCGGGGACGAUAAUGACGGUACCCGGAGAAGAAGCCCCGGCUAACUUCGUGCCAGCCGCCGCGGUAAGAC
rnacentral:rRNA from 1 species